CGUGUAAUUCUAUUGUAAUUUCUUAUAGAGAUGUAUGGCAAUGAAGACGGCUCGGUUCCAGCUACAUUUCAGAUCCUUUACAUGAUUGGCUGGAAACCUCACGAGUCUCAGGCGAAACCAGCAAAAAGGGGUUCGGCGAAUGUCUCGUUUGCCGAUCUGUCAAAAAUAAGCACUUCAGACCGACCACCAGAAAAACAAUGAAAAACCCUAGGACAGGAAGAAGUUCUAUCUUUCAAAUCAACUCUGGAUCUGCUUUACGUACAUGAACGUGAUUACACAGAAAUGUUGCAUCAACAAACUGUAUUUUUGCAAAAGCUUCUUUGACAAAUGUACUCCAACAUAAACAAUGAUUUUAAUAAGGUGCUAAACAAUCCAUGUUACUCUCUAAAACCGAGUUACCAAAUCAUGUUACUCACAAAUUAUUACAUUCAGUUCCAGAAAUAAAAAAGCAAAUGUAUAAAAAAUGUAUACAUCUUACUCCCAGUACUCUUUUAGAGAAAACAAGCAUUCUAGUGUUCAAGAAAAUCCUAACGGCUAAUAUAGCAAUAAAUCCCUUUCCUCCAAACAUCAUGAAAUGUUCAUGACAAGCUCCUCUGUACAGAUCAAGUGUACAAUGCAUUUACAUAUACAUAUGGCUUCAUAGUGCUGAAGAUUAAUCUUUAGAGUUCAACAGUUGUCAAUGGACAUGAUAUUACAGCGUAUUCUACUUAAACUGCAUCCAGGGUGUUGAGUAUGACAGUCAUUUUGAAUCAAAAGCAUUAGUUGUUUUGCUGGAAGACAUUAGCUCACACUUCAUGUGCUAUUUUGUGAGCUUUGACCUCUUAGUGGUUGUAUAAAACAAAAAAACAAAUCUGCUCAAUGUUAGCCUGAGUAUCAUGGAUAUUAGUACAGAUUUGCUGUAAUUCACUUAAUCUGGAGUACAUGUGGAUUGGAGCCAAUAACAGGCUGCCGUUCUCAUUACAUCAUCUAAAUCCAGACUAAAGUAGUGGAGAUUCAUUAUACUGUACGCAGCAACUAAAACAUGAUUUAAAGUGAAUCACAAACCGAGUAGCAGCUACAGGACGUCCUGUCUGUCCACAGAAACAGGCUUCAUGGUCCUCGAUGUAAACACAAGACGUUUGGAGCAGGUUAUGGUGACCAUCUGUUGUCAGUUUAAGUCCAUAUUUCUCAUUCUUUGAAGCAUUUAAAGCUCAAUUAAUGCCAACAAGGCACAAACAAAACUAUUUACAUCUACUUUGGAUCCUUUUUUUUCUCCAUUCAUUCUCUAUUUCAAGUCACUCUACCUUUCCUGCUCUUGAUUUCCAACUUUCCUGAGUGAGUUCAUGAGCGUCUUUAUGAACCCAGGUCAUAUUUCA